AACGAACGCUGGCGGCAUGCCUAACACAUGCAAGUCGAACGAGACCUUCGGGUCUAGUGGCGCACGGGUGCGUAACGCGUGGGAACCUGCCCUUAGGUUCGGAAUAACUCCCCGGAAGGGGUGCUAAUACCGGAUAAUGUCUUCGGACCAAAGAUUUAUCGCCUUUGGAUGGGCCCGCGUUGGAUUAGCUAGUUGGUAGGGUAAAAGCCUACCAAGGCGACGAUCCAUAGCUGGUCUGAGAGGAUGAUCAGCCACACUGGGACUGAGACACGGCCCAGACUCCUACGGGAGGCAACAGUGGGGAAUAUUGGACAAUGGGCGAAAGCCUGAUCCAGCAAUGCCGCGUGAGUGAUGAAGGCCUUAGGGUUGUAAAGCUCUUUUACCCGGGAUGAUAAUGACAGUACCGGGAGAAUAAGCUCCGGCUAACUCCGUG
rnacentral:rRNA from 1 species